rnacentral:sRNA from 1 species
UUAAGGAUGGCAUGCUAAGAUCGCGACGUCCUGUCGCAACGCAUGCACUUGCACAUCCUGUG